rnacentral:rRNA from 1 species
UACGUAGGGUGCAAGCGUUGUCCGGAAUUAUUGGGCGUAAAGAGCUCGUAGGCGGUCUGUCACGUCGGCUGUGAAAACCCGAGGCUCAACCUCGGGCCUGCAGUCGAUACGGGCAGACUAGAGUUCGGUAGGGGAGACUGGAAUUCCUGGUGUAGCGGUGAAAUGCGCAGAUAUCAGGAAGAACACCCGUGGCGAAGGCGGCUCUCUGGGACGGUACUGACGCUGAGACGCGAAAGCGUGGGGAGCGAACAGG